UACGUAGGGGGCAAGCGUUGUCCGGAAUUAUUGGGCGUAAAGAGCGUGUAGGCGGAUAUUUAAGUCAGAUGUGAAAACUGGCGGCUCAACCGUGAGACUGCAUCUGAUACUGGAUAUCUUGAGGGUAAGAGAGGGCAGUGGAAUUCCUAGUGUAGCGGUGAAAUGCGUAGAUAUUAGGAGGAACACCAGUGGCGAAGGCGACUGCCUGGCUUACAACUGACGCUGAGACGCGAAAAGCGUGGGGGAGCAAACAGG
rnacentral:rRNA from 1 species